rnacentral:rRNA from 1 species
GACGAACGCUGGCGGCGUGCUUAACACAUGCAAGUCGAGCGGUAAGGCUCCUUCGGGAGUACACGAGCGGCGAACGGGUGAGUAACACGUGAGCAAUCUGCCCUUCACUCUGGGAUAACUCUCGGAAACGAGUGCUAAUACCGGAUACGACCACUUCAGGCAUCUGACGGUGGUGGAAAGUUCCGGCGGUGAAGGAUGAGCUCGCGGCCUAUCAGCUUGUUGGUGAGGUAACGGCUCACCAAGGCUUCGACGGGUAGCCGGCCUGAGAGGGUGACCGGCCACACUGGGACUGAGACACGGCCCAG